CGCUGCCGCUGCCGGGCGGCACCAGCGAGGGAGCAAAAAACCCAUUUCAGGCACAAGGAGAAUGAGGGCACGGAGUCCCACCGGGCUCACGUGGGCACCGGCAUCGCCUUUCCGCAGGAGAGGCUGGAGCAUCCCCCGCCCGCCGAGCGCAGGGGCAGCUCCGCCGGGCAGCCCCGGCCGGCGCACCCAGGGGCGCGGCGAUGGCAGCACGGGCACCCCGCACGCCGGAGGAGGACGAGGACGAUGCCAAAACCGGGCUGGAGAUGUCUGUAAGAUGCUCCAAGCCGGGCUCUCCUCCGGGACAGGAAGGUUUAAUGUGCUCAUUAACGCCAUGAGAGAAGAAAUAGCUCAGAGGACAGAAAAGGAUGCUGGAGGGGGGGAAAUCGAGCUGAGCGGGUCCCUCAAGAGCAAAGGAACGUCACCGAGGAGGAAUUCAGGAAUUCAGGCUGAAGCUGGCGGGUAGAAAUGUGCCACCUCCUCCUCUGCCUUCCUCCGUCCUGGGAGGGCGAGGAGGGCAUGGAGGAGGAAGAGGAGGGUGGGAAGAUAACCUGGGUGAAGGUGGAGGCAGGAUCCAGCCCUGGGUGAGGCCAACGGGGAUAAAAUCACUCUGGAGCACUCAAGGCGAGAUGGCUGUGAGCAGUAGCAAGCUCCAGAAUGGAAAUAAAGAAAAAAAUUGACAAAAAACCCCCCA
rnacentral:lncRNA from 1 species